AGAAUCAACGCUGGCGGCGUGCCUAACACAUGCAAGUCGCACGAGGAAGGGGGAGCAAUCCCUGAGUAAAGUGGCGCACGGGUGAGUAACACGUGAAUGAUCUACCUCCGAGUGGGAAUAAACCAAAAGAAAUUUGGCUAAUACCGCAUAACACUUACGAGUCAAAGCAGCAAUGCGCUUGGAGAGGAGUUCGCGGCAGAUUAGCUAGUUGGCGGGUAAUGGCCCACAAGGCGAUGAUCUGUA
rnacentral:rRNA from 1 species